GACGAACGCUGGCGGCGUGCUUAACACAUGCAAGUCGAACGGAAAGGCCCUGCUUUUGUGGGGUGCUCGAGUGGCGAACGGGUGAGUAACACGUGAGUAACCUGCCCUUGACUUUGGGAUAACUUCAGGAAACUGGGGCUAAUACCGGAUAGGAGCUCCUGCUGCAUGUUGGGGGUUGGAAAGUUUCGGCGGUUGGGGAUGGACUCGCGGCUUAUCAGCUUGUUGGGGGGGUAGUGGCUUACCAAGGGUUUGAAGGGUAGCCGGCCUGGGAGGGUGAACGGCCUCAAUGGGCCUGAGAUACGGCGCAGAAGGCUACGGGAGGCAGCAGGGGGGAAUUUGGCACAAUGGGCGGAAGCCUGAUGCAGCAAUGUUGCGUGCGGGAUGACGGGUUAUGGGUUGUAAACAGAUUUGGACGGUGAUGAAGAGUUAGUGACGGUAAUGGGUAAAGAAGCACCGGCUAACUACGUG
rnacentral:rRNA from 1 species